GAAGAAAAGUGGAGCAGAAGCACAUGGCCUGGAGAAACCGCAAGUUCUAAGGGGUCUCAGAUGUGGAAGAUGAUAGUGUAGUGGUAGAUCUGCCCAAUCUAGGCACACAACAUAUAUUCAUAUUAAUUGUGUUGUGUUUUCAUUGCCCGGGCAUAUUUGGGUUGGAGAUUUACCGCAACACCCUUUUGACCUUGUUCAGUAUGUUGUAAUGCCAAUUCUCCAGAACAAGUUAUUUUCCAUACCUCAGUGUCUAAGGCAGUACCUUCCCUGCCCAUCACAUUAUGAACCUCUCAGUUGAUUCAUCCAAUGAAGAGGUCACAGUUCCCAGGGGUCAAUUCCUUCCUCAAUCCUCCCUUCUGAAUGCUGAACUGGGUUAUGACUAGAAGCUGUUGGAGCUGUUGGAAGGGCUGAGAUUGCCAGGGUGCAGAAGAGAGUCAGUCACCAUUUUCAGUUCAAAAUCCUGGUUGCUAGAGCAAGACUCACAAAGCUCCAAGUGCUCCGGGUUCCUGGGGGUCCCCAGACUCCCCAGACCACACCGGGACUUCCUACCUCAGAAUCAUCAUCAGAUGGGAAGUCAAGUUGGAAUUUCUGACAGAGGAACUCAGAAACAGAGACCACUGUUGACUUCAUAAAACUGAUAGACCUGUUAUGUUUUCUUUGUAUUUUACCAUUUUCUCUGGAUGUCCUCUGUGCUGCAUAACUUUUUUUUUGUCAACGUGACACAAUUCAGUGUUCUCUAAGAAGAGGAGACAUCAGUUGAGAAAAUGCCUCCAUCAGAUUGGCCUGUGGGCAAGUUUUGGGGAACAUUUCCUUGAUGAACACUUGAUGUAGAAGGGUCCAGAUCACCGUAGGUAUUGUCACCUUGUGUAGGCUAUUCUGGCUUGUAUAAGAAGGCAAGUUGAUGAGCAAGCAAUGGGGAGCAGGCCAGUGAGCAGCACUCCUUCAUGACCUCUGCUUCAGCUCCUGUGUCCAGGUUCCUGCUUCUGAGUUCCUGCCUUGACUUUCCUCAGUAGUGCACUGUGAUGUAUAAGUAUAAGACAAAUAACCUCUGUUUUCCUCAGCUGCUUUUCGGCACGGUGUUGACCAUAUCAACAAAAAGCAAACGAAUAUGUCCCCCAAGCUUGAAUAUUCUGUAACUUCUGUCACUCUCCUUCAACUGAGGUGACAGAAGAGUCUUUGGAACUAAUAUUUCAUAUCUUCCCUAUGGCCUACCCAGAUCAACCAACUAGUUCAUGAAAUUCAAUGUUUAUUUUCUUCCUUAAAUCCACUUCAGUUUCUAUCCAGGGAUUUCCAGUACCAGAACUGUCCCUCCAGAUCUUUUCUGCCAUCCCACCUCCAUCUCUACCCUCUCCUUGGAUGCUUGUUACAUCUCUAUAGUGGAAGUCCACAAAUCAACUUCUCCUAGCAGCAAACUCACUGAACACAUUGCUGCACCCAGGAUCACAGCCACAGAUGAAGAGUAUGUGAAGGUCCAUCACUUCCCCUUGGAAACUGUCACAAGGCUCUGCCAUGAGAUGUGUUCAGCUUGCUGAGUUCUUUCUACUCAAGAUCAGUUGCCUCUGCAACAUACUGUCUAGUUUUGCCUAAACCAAAGAAGAUGUAGCAUUCCAAGUCAAAUUUACAAUUUGUCCUUGAGAUAUGCUACUGAUAGUUUUAAAUGAAAAAUUAUUUUAAUAUUCUUUCAUUUUCUGACUUGAAGAACUGUACUUCUUAUAGAACAUGAUUUUUGUGUAUGUAGUAUUUUAAUAUUUAUACAGUUCUACUUAUAAUUAUCAUUUUCUAUUACUGAAAUAUAUUAUCACACACUGAGAAUUUUA
rnacentral:lncRNA from 1 species